CCCGCCGCCAUCUCAGGUCUCUUGGCCUUGCCAAGGUUCACGAGAGAAAACUGACGCCUGGGUCCCAUAAUCCUUAUGGGGGACCAACCGUGUGCCUCUGGGAGAUCUAAGCUCCCUCCUGGAAAUUCGCGGGAAGUUAAGCCUCCAAAAAAGCGUUGUCUCCUCACUCCGCGGUGGGAUUAUCCCGAAGGAACUCCCAACGGAGGUAGUACCUCUCUCCCCUCCGCACCUCCUCCUGCAUCAGCCGGCCUGAAGUCGCACCCUCCUCCUCCAGAGAAGUAGUGAAAUAAACUUCGCUGGUCACCAGUUUUUGAGGUGUUGCAGUAUGACUUCAUUUCCUUGGUGCAUUCAUAAAAUAAUUCACCCGUUGAAGACAAUGAAGAUUAUUUGCAAUGCUAACCAACUUUAUCUGAUGUCCUGCACCUAGAAGUUGUGAUUUUUAAGGACAAGGGGACCAGCAGAUGGCAUAAUGGUUACGUCACUGGAUUCCCAUGUGGUUGGGAC